CCCUCCCUAAAUCACUCCAAAAAACAAUCCCCAAUUCUACACAAGUGUUUCUACACUAACAAAGCAACAGCUCCUUAACGAAUUUCCAACUUUACACGAGCUCGUCUCUCGAGGUUAAAUGUUAUUACUUGGUAAGAUUCCGGACCUCGCCAAGUGUUUUGAAAACCCGCAACGCUCGCAAAGGUGGAUAGUGAGAAUAAUAAGUGAAGAGACAGACUUGUCCAAAACGCCCACCACGAAGGUGCAUAGUGAGAAGAGUAAGUCAAGAGAUAGACUUGUCCAAAAAGAAACGGAAGAGAAAGCUUGGGGAGACGCUCACGAAGGUGCAUAGUGAGAAGAGUAAGUCAAGAGAUAGACUUGUUCAAAAAGAAACAGAAGAGAAUGCUUGGGGUUACACUCACGAAGGUGCAUAGUGAGAAAGAGUAAGUCAAGAGACGACUUGUUCAAAAAGAAACAAAAGAGAAUGCUUGGGGAGAUAGAAGUGUGAGAUAGUUCUCAAGCUAAGAAAGUUGUAAAAGCUAAGAACUAGCAUCAAAUGAUGGAUGAAACACAAGGUAGUUGUUGAAAAGUCAAACACUUGGUGAUAUGAACACAAACGUUCAAUAUGACAAACCCAUGCCAAGUAAAGAGAAAAUGAAAAAACGGGUGAUUGUUGCGGAAAUCGUCCAGGAUUCCUCGACCAGGACUUGAAAUCGUCGAGGGAAAAAAUCGGUUCCGAGGAAUCGUCGAUCCGGACUUGGAAUCGUCGAGAAAAGUUUACCGGGUCCGAGGAAUCGUCGAG
rnacentral:misc_RNA from 1 species